GCUGGGUCUGGUGGUGCAGGCCUGUAAUCCCAGCAGCUUAGGAGGCUGAGGCAGGAAGAUCAUGAGUUCAAAGCCAGCCUUAUCAAAGCAAGGUGUUAAGCAACUCAGUGAGACCCUGUCUCUA
rnacentral:sRNA from 1 species